AUUGAACGCUGGCGGCAGGCCUAACACAUGCAAGUCGAACGAGUGGCGGACGGGUGAGUAAUGUCUGGGAAACUGCCUGAUGGAGGGGGAUAACUACUGGAAACGGUAGCUAAUACCGCAUACCAUCGGAUGUGCCCAGAUGGGAUUAGCUAGUAGGUGGGGUAAAGGCUCACCUAGGCGCCGAUCCCUAGCUGGUCUGAGAGGAUGACCAGCCAACCUGGAACUGAGACACGGUCCAGACCCCUACGGGGGGCAGCAGUGGGGAAUUUGGAACAAUGGGCGAAAGCCUGAGGCAGCCAUGCCGCGGGUAUGAAGAAGGCCUGCGGGUUGUAAAGUACUUUAAGCGGGGAGGCGUUACCCGCAGAAGAAGCACCGGCUAACUCCGUGCCAGCCGCCGCGGUAAUC
rnacentral:rRNA from 1 species